rnacentral:other from 1 species
UAUCCCCUGCCUUGCAGGUAAUUCGGCAAUAUUUUUUUGAGCCAACAUCGACAUUAAGGGUGACUUUGAUGCUUACGGAAAGGAAUCAGCACCUUGCUGAAUUCCUUGAUUGGAGUAAAAGUAACGCCCACCUAACCCGUUAGGUUCAAUGUCAUUGUCGGAGACGGUAUAGGCGGGGGGUAU